rnacentral:lncRNA from 1 species
GCUAGCUCAAGCUGCUUAACUGCUUUUUUCCCAAGGUUCCAUGGGAACUGUCUUCCCAUCUUAAUUGAUUGGCGUUUCACAAAGUUCUGAGCUCCUUUUCUUUUUGCAGAUGCUUUUGUCGCUUCUAAAAAUCUUCAUUUACAUUCAACAACAUGAAAAGUGUUUUAAGGAAAGUGAAUUAUUCAACUCUGAAUCAGAACCUAAUAUUUCCCCCAGCUCUGUGAUUCUGCACAAACUACAUCCUAUGCCUGAAAUUUUCUCCCUGGCCUCUUACUCUUGGAAUCUAUAUCUCAAGUGGAGAAGUCCUCUACCCAGACAAUACAAUUAAAAUCACUGUAUGUGAGAUGAAGGAGCGCAAUUUCAAACCAGUGUGACUGUUAUAAAAAGAGGCACACAGUGUGAAGACAGGACACCAAAAGAAGGCUAUGGGACAAAGGCAUUUCCAUGGUUUACUUAGAAAGACUGACUUGGGGAUCCACAACUGAAAUGCCAUGUCUGGCCCCAAAAUGGAAAAUAAUUUUGAGUUACUGAAUAG